rnacentral:rRNA from 1 species
GACGAGGGGUCCAAGCGUUGUUCGGAAUCAUUGGGCGUAAAGCGCGUGUAGGCGGCUCGAUAAGUCUGCUGUGAAAGUUCAGGGCUCAACCCUGAAAUGCCGGUGGAAACUGUCGAGCUAGAGUCCGGAAGAGGCGAGUGGAAUUCCUGGUGUAGCGGUGAAAUGCGCAGAUAUCAGGAGGAACACCAAUGGCGAAGGCAGCUCGCUGGGACGGUACUGACGCUGAGACGCGAAAGCGUGGGGAGCAAACAGG